GCAAAAAGGUCUUCAGAAGCCUGGGAAAACAAAAGAAACCACACUUGGAAUGGGCACCAGUUGUUAUCCUUAACUAAAAUCUCUGUGCAGAACCUGUAGACAUGGGCCAAAUUAUCUUCCCACAUCUUUAAGGUAAACCUAAUGAAGGCCAAGUGCAAGGUGUUGCUCUUGGGGCAAUCCCAGACCUGUCUUCUCCAAAGAACUCAUUGAGGGCAACCUUGUACAGAAAUACUUGGAAGACCUCGUUGAUGAAAAGCUGGACAUAAGCCAGAAGUGUGUGGUCUCAGCCUGGAAAGCCAAUGGUAUCCUGGUCUGUAUCAAAAGAGGGAUUGCCAGCAGGAGGAGGAUUGUCUGCCUUUGCUCUGCCCUUCUGAGGCUCCAGCUGGAGUACUGUGUCCAGGCCUGGGGUCCACAGCACAAAAAAGAUGUGGAGUUGCUGAAGAGUGUCCAGAGGAGGCCAUGAAGAUGAAUGGAGGGCUGGAGAACUUCUCUUGUGAAGAUAGGCUGAGGGAGCUGGGCUUGUUCAGCGUGGAGAAAAGAAGGCUCUGGGGAAGCUCUUUCAGCAUGUCAGUAAUUGAAAGGAGAUUACAGACAGGAACUAUCGUUUCAUACAGGGAAAUAGUGACAGAAAAACGGGGAACAGUUUAUAGGAAGGGGGAUUUAGAUGAGAUAUUGUAAAGAAAUUCUUUAUUCAGAAAUGAUGAGGUGCUGGUGCAGCUGCCCAGAGAAGCUGUGGUGCGCCAUUACUAGAAGUGCUCAAGACCAGGUAGGAUGUGGCCUUGGGCAGCCUGAGCUGGUGGGGACAGUCCUGCCCACAGCAGGGGUUGGGGCAGGGUGGGCUUUGAGGUCCUUUCCAACUCAAGUCAUUCUGUGAUUCUGUCAUUCUGAACUGUUGCCCUUAAUGAUGGAGUUUCAGGCUCAGGAGUAGUAUAAAUUAUUAAAAAUCUCUAAGGAGAUUGUACUUCUCCUUAAAGUUUCAGGUUUCUGACAUGUUUGUUGCUGAAUAUAUCUCAAUAUUCAUAACGUUUUUAUGUACUUUGUAUGUGAGAGAGUGAUUUUAUCUUUUAGUAACUUUAUUUAUACUCUUUCAUUAAACUGGAGAAUUGAGAAUGUUGGAGACUGCAUCAGAGAAGAAGGACAAAACUGCAAAGUUCAGCGUGAUAUUGGAAUACUAACAAUCCCAGUAAAGUUGCACAUGGUAGGAGAAGUGGUCUGGGUAGGGAUUACUGAAAUAUUUAAGUUUUUCUGUGUGCCAAUAAACUGUGCAAAAAGCUGGAAACAAAAUUUCCCCUGAUGCAGGUAAAGAGAAAUGAUGGAGAAGUUAUUAGAUUUCCAACAGCUUCAAGGAUCAGUCCUUAUUGCAUUAAACUUUGUUUAUAAUAAGUAUCACAGAAUCUGCUGCACAAACACUAAGAUUCAGGUGGAAAUUUUUUGGGGGACAUUUCAAAAUAUGUGCUGUGCCAGUCAAAAUCUUUCUGAUCUCUUACCUGGUUCUCUGAACAUGUCUUCCCAAAGAAACCAAGGAAUUUGUUGAGGAACAGAGAGUGGGCUCUACUUGAGCCCAGGUUUUGGCAAUUGAAUUCCCAGCGUAAGUAUCUUCAAGCUAAGCAAAAUACAUGAGUUCAGUGCAAUAAGAUUGCUGUACUUCCCAAACUAUAAUUCAAUACAAUGAAAUAUUUGGCAGAUCGAGCACUAAAACAUAAACAGGUAAGGAUUUCAACAGGACUUUCAUUUUUUUGUCUAUCAUGUAAUACAUUUAUGAA